rnacentral:rRNA from 1 species
AACGAACGCUGGUGGCAUGCCUAACACAUGCAAGUCGAACGAGACCUUCGGGUCUAGUGGCGCACGGGUGCGUAACGCGUGGGAACCUGCCCUUAGGUUAGGAAUAACUCCCCGAAAGGGGUGCUAAUACCGGAUAAUGUCUUCGGACCAAAGAUUUAUCGCCUUUGGAUGGGCCCGCGUUGGAUUAGCUAGUUGGUAGGGUAAAAGCCUACCAAGGCGACGAUCCAUAGCUGGUCUGAGAGGAUGAUCAGCCACACUGGGACUGAGACACGGCCCAGACUCCUACGGGAGGCAGCAGUGGGGAAUAUUGGACAAUGGGCGAAAGCCUGAUACAGCAAUGCCGCGUGAGUGAUGAAGGCCUUAGGGUUGUAAAGCUCUUUUACCCGAGAUGAUAAUGACAGUACCGGGAGAAUAAGCUCCGGCUAACUCCGUG